UACGUAGGGGGCAAGCGUUGUCCGGAUUUAUUGGGCGUAAAGAGCGUGUAGGCGGCCAGGUAGGUCCGCUGUGAAAACUCGAGGCUCAACCUCGAGACGCCGAUGGAAACCGUUUGGCUAGAGUCCGGAAGAGGAGAGUGGAAUUCCUGGUGUAGCGGUGAAAUGCGCAGAUAUCAGGAAGAACACCCGUGGCUAAGGCGGCUCUCUAGUACGGUACUGACGCUGAGACGCGAAAGCGUGGGGAGCGAACAGG
rnacentral:rRNA from 1 species